CAGGCGGCUGCGGUCUGCGGUUAACCACAAACUAAUUGACGUUCGCACACCAAUUAACUACCGAACAACCUCACGAACGUAGACCUCCUACAGUGGCUCGUGUGUCAGCAAUUAGCCUGUGGUUUCUGCGGUUAACCACAACUCAAGUACCGUCCUACCGGGCGGUCCCAAUUCGUAUACCGAACGAUUUCCACUACCAGACAGACAGCGGGGAUUCGCAUGAACUAUAUCCGAGUUC